rnacentral:lncRNA from 1 species
GACCCCCAGGUUGUGGCAUGUUGGCAUAACCCUAGAUAGUAACAUGCUGUUCUGUUUGUCAUUCCAGGACAACAUGGACAGGAAGUGAAGCCAGCUCUGAGAAUAAUCUAAAGGCACCCGUGACAGUUUGUAACAUCAGAACUACCGUAAGCUGAAGUCUGAUUGGAGGAAUGGCGUGCCAAUCGACCCUGCACCAGUGAUCAGGCCAGGACACUCCAGUGGUGACAUCCUGUGGAGCCAUAGAUUAAAGUAAGUACCUCACAGAAACAUCAGUAGACACCAGCAUUUGGUUAAGAAACGCGACUCGUGCACCAG